UACGUAGGGGGCAAGCGUUAUCCGGAUUUACUGGGUGUAAAGGGAGCGUAGACGGCUGUGCAAGUCUGAAGUGAAAGGCAUGGGCUCAACCUGUGGACUGCUUUGGAAACUGUGCAGCUAGAGUGUCGGAGAGGUAAGUGGAAUUCCUAGUGUAGCGGUGAAAUGCGUAGAUAUUAGGAGGAACACCAGUGGCGAAGGCGGCUUACUGGACGAUGACUGACGUUGAGGCUCGAAAGCGUGGGGAGCAAACAGG
rnacentral:rRNA from 3 species